CUUAGUCUAUACAAGAGACUGAUUCUUGGCACAGAAUAGCUCAAUAAGAAUAAGCAUGAGCUUUUAGUAGUAGUGUUGUUAUAGAGCAGAGCUGAUAUUCUCACUUCACUUUCGGUGAGGAAAAUGGCGCUCUGUGGUGUGAUGUGAUGUUUUCCAGGGUCAUAUAGAGAGAGCUGAGUUUCAAUUCAAAAUCGUGGUUUGAUCCCCCCGCCUCCAAAUCUAAUGUGUUCCAUUUUGUCACAGUGCUUCCCACAGGGCAGAGAAAGAAACAACAAAGUUCCUACUCUAUUUUCACAACUCUUCACAUUUUAGAGUCUUAAGUCCAUUUGAUCUCAUUUGAUGACAACUUCGCAACGAGGAAAGCAGGAUGGUGAUUGGGGGGUCGGUCAUAGUUCCUAGUUAGUGGAUGUCAGUAUUGAGAAUGGCGGGGUUCUGUGGCUUAGCCAUAUAGCCAAUACAUGGAAUGGGAUUGGAACCCAUGUCUUCUGAGGGCAAGCCCAACACUUGUCAAGGAUCUGGUGCUGCCCUUCCCUCUUUAGACAGCUCCCAUUGAUAAGCAGAGGUAGAAGUCACUAGGGUAGCCAAAGAGAGGGCCCUAGAAAUGGAAUGGUGACAAUGAACUUGGCUGAAGAGUCAGCAACCGCUCCCCUAUCCACUGCCAGGGCUAGGAGGUGCAGUGUGGCAUGGAGGAGGAGCACUGGCUGGAGUUAGGAGGCCUAAGGUCUAGUCCUAGUUCAUCAUCUGACUCUGGAGUCCCCUUGGUGAUACUGACCUCCCUGGGUUUGGUCUCUUAUCUGUAAAACAGCAGGAUAUUGGCUCUAUGUGGUGUGUAUUUCACUGAAUGCCUACUAUGGUCAAGUUUUUCUGGCUCUAAGUUCCCUUGGAAAGGGCUCUCUACUUUAGCUGAAUAACUCAGCACCUAAAUCUGUCAACCACACCCUUCAGUAGGUAACUUUGUUAGAAAUAUGGUCUAUUAAGGUAAGAGCCAGGAUUUCUGUGGUUGCAAAAGUGGAUGCGGGCUCUGAACAAAACCUCUAGUGAGCUGAGAUACUUUAUCAGAUGACAUAUUUGACCACCAAACUUCUGUUGGAGCAGGGCUGAUUUGCCAAACAGACAGCAACCUUGCAGACUUAGUCGAUGGCUAGAAUUAAGACUCAAGGUCACUUCAGGGCCUGUCACUGAUUGUGGGAGGGCUUGGUAAAAAUUGAACCUCAUUAACACCACUGAAGAAGCUGAUAGACAAGAAAUGGGAUUAAGACUCAAUACUCAUCAAAAUAAGGCUUUCCUUAUCCACAGCCUACCUGAGCAGUGCCUCACUCUGGAAAAUGUGGUUCAUGGCUCGGCUCAAACAUUUUCUGUUGCUGAGAGGACUUCUCUCAUGGAAGUCUGGCUCAGAUGAACACAUGUGUGAUCUGAUGGAACCUUUGUUUAAGUGAAUGAGGAGGGUAUUUGGAAGACUUAGAUCAAACGUGUGCCCCAUUGGGCAGUCACUAUCUGCUCCCCUGACAGGGAGAAACCCCAGUGACAGGAUAGAAAGCUCCAAAGAUCCUGAGGAAGUUUGGAAGGUCAAACUUCACCACUGCAAGGACUGAGAGAUCCAAGAAUCUCAGAAUCCAGGUUGGUCUCCAGGGUGCAGUUCUGAACAAAUGAGUGCAGUGGAUAAAAAGCUUAUACUUAAGGUGGGAAGGUGGGUGUGGGUUCCAGUUCCUUCUUUGGCUGAUUCUCUUUUGGCCUGGAUUUCCUCACUUGUCAUCCAUGCCAUGUCACAAACCCAGUGCCUACAGGGACCAGGCACAGAAGCUGGAUAUUUGAGUAUCAGACAUAUUGGAAUAUUACUCACUCCUACCAAAUAUGUUUAUGGUUCCCCAUUCUCUUGGUUUCCAUUUUGGAGAGCUAAACAGGUACUAAAAAUGAUUUCUUUAUUAUAAGACAAGCAAUAAAACAGUGGGCAAGUGUGAUGAUAAACAGCAUCUGAGCUUUGGCUUUGGAGUUGGGGAGACAAUAGAGAGUGGCAGUAACUGUGGUGAACCGUACAGUCCAGGUCCCUUCUGGAGGGGACAGCUGCUGUCCAGCUCCAGCCUAUCAGGAUGUGAGUCUAGUGAUGCCAGAUUUCCAGUCUCUUAGGACAAGCAAGAAAUCCAAAUUUUUAAUGUAACAUCUUCUGAAAAGAUACACACACACACACACACACACACACACACACACACACACACACACACACGUGGACCAAACAAAACAUGUCCAUGGGCCAGAUUCAGCCUUGUGGGUCACCAGUUUUGUGAUCUGGAAUCCAUUUUAUUUCUAGAAUCUCCUUUCAAUUCUCGGAUCUCUGAGUGAGUAACACCCAAUUUUUUUUUUUUUGGCAAAAUGUGUCCUGCAUUUCCCACACUUUCUGAGCUGGAGCACAGGUUCUGGAGUUAGACCACUUGGCUCAAACCUUGGCCUCGUUCAUGGCUAGUUGCCUGUCCCUGGACAAGUUAAUUCCCUGGUCUCAUUUUUCCUAUCUGUAAAAUGGAGUAUGCAAUAAUAGUACUCUUAACCUCAUAGGUUGUGGAAGAAUUCACAGACACAAUGGAAAUAAAAGGCCUGGCUCAUUGCCUGGCAUGUAGUAAGGACCUGAUAAAUGUCAGCCAUCAUAUUAUUACUACAUGGUAUUACUGCCUCCCCUUAGAUGGGAGCCAAGUCUUGCUCACCAGCUCAUUGCCUGAUGUUAGUAGGCAUUCAAUAAAAGUAUCAUGAAUGAAUAAGAACAUUUGAGAAAGACAGCAUUCCAGCCUUUCCAGGCAAUACUCGUGUGUGUGUGUGUGUGUGUGUGUGAGAGAGAGAGAGAGACAGAAAGAAAGAAAGAAAGAAAGA